GAUGAAGAACGUAGCGAAAUGCGAUAAGUAAUGCGAAUUGCAGAAUUUCCGUGAAUCAUCGAAUCUUUGAACGCACAUUGCGCCUUCCGGUAUUCCGGGAGGCAUGCCUGUUCGAGCGUCAUCAAAAACCCUCAAGUUUGAAUUCAUUCAUACUUGGUUUUGGACAUGGAGCGGUUUUUUCCUGUUCCCAUCCGAAAUGCAUUGGCAAAGUGGCACAUUCCAUUCAGUGUAGUAAUCAACGUUAUGUUUCACUAUUGGACAUGCUAUCUUCCGCCGUUAACCUCCUCUCCAUCUAAGUGUUUGACCUCGGAUCAGGUAGGGAUACCCGCUGAACUUAAGCAUAUCAAUAAGCGGAGGA
rnacentral:misc_RNA from 1 species